GACGAACGCUGGCGGCGUGCUUAACACAUGCAAGUCGAACGGAAAGGCCCUGCUUUUGUGGGGUGCUCGAGUGGCGAACGGGUGAGUAACACGUGAGUAACAUGCCCUUGACUUUGGGAUAACUUCAGGAAACUGGGGCUCAUACCGGAUAGGAGCUCCUGCUGCAUGGUGGGGGUUGGAAAGAUUCGGCGGUUGGGGAUGGACUGGCGGCUUAUCAGCUUGUUGGUGGGGUAGUGGCUUACCAAGGCUUUGACGGGUAGCCGGCCUGAGAGGGUGACCGGCCACAUUGGGACUGAGGUACGGCCCAGUCUGCUACGGGAGGCAGAAGGGGAGAAUAUUGCACAAUGGGCGGAAGCCUGAUGCAGCAACGCCGCGUGCGGGAUGACGGCCUUCGGGUUGUAAACCGCUUUCGCCUGUGACAAAGCCUGAUUGACGGUAAUGAGUAAAGAAGCACCGGCUAACUACGUG
rnacentral:rRNA from 1 species